rnacentral:rRNA from 1 species
UCGAGUGGCGAACGGGUGAGUAACACGUGGGUGAUCUGCCCUGCACUUUGGGAUAAGCCUGGGAAACUGGGUCUAAUACCGAAUACACCCUUCUGGCUGCAUGGUCUGGUUGGGGAAAGCUUUUGCGGUGUGGGAUGGGCCCGCGGCCUAUCAGCUUGUUGGUGAGGUUACGGCUCACCAAGGCGACGACGGGUAGCCGGCCUGAGAGGGUGACCGGCCACACUGGGACUGAGAUACGGCCCAGACUCCUACGGGAGGCAGCAGUGGGGAAUAUUGCACAAUGGGCGCAAGCCUGAUGCAGCGACGCCGCGUGAGGGAUGACGGCCUUCGGGUUGUAAACCUCUUUCGCCAGGGACGAAGCGCAAGUGACGGUACCUGGAGAAGAAGGACCGGCCAACUACGUGCCAGCAGCCGCGGUAAUACGUAGGGUCCGAGCGUUGUCCGGAAUUACUGGGCGUAAAGAGCUCGUAGGUGGUUUGUCGCGUUGUUCGUGAAAACUCACAGCUCAACUGUGGGCGUGCGGGCGAUACGGGCAGACUGGAGUACUGCAGGGGAGACUGGAAUUCCUGGUGUAGCGGUGGAAUGCGCAGAUAUCAGGAGGAACACCGGUGGCGAAGGCGGGUCUCUGGGCAGUAACUGACGCUGAGGAGCGAAAGCGUGGGGAGCGAACAGGAUUAGAUACCCUGGUAGUCCACGCCGUAAACGGUGGGUACUAGGUGUGGGUUUCCUUCCUUGGGAUCCGUGCCGUAGCUAACGCAUUAAGUACCCCGCCUGGGGAGUACGGCCGCAAGGCUAAAACUCAAAGAAAUUGACGGGGGCCCGCACAAGCGGCGGAGCAUGUGGAUUAAUUCGAUGCAACGCGAAGAACCUUACCUGGGUUUGACAUGCACAGGACGUGCCUAGAGAUAGGUAUUCCCUUGUGGCCUGUGUGCAGGUGGUGCAUGGCUGUCGUCAGCUCGUGUCGUGAGAUGUUGGGUUAAGUCCCGCAACGAGCGCAACCCUUAUCUUAUGUUGCCAGCGCGUAAUGGCGGGGACUCGUGAGAGACUGCCGG